GCUUUCCUGUUGCUCUGUUGGUACAGCAUUGCGCUAAAACGCAAGGGUCAUGGGUUCAUAUCCCAGGGAAAGCA